UACGCAGGGUGCGAGCGUUAAUCGGAAUUACUGGGCGUAAAGCGUGCGCAGGCGGUUUUGUAAGACCGAUGUGAAAUCCCCGGGCUUAACCUGGGAACUGCAUUGGUGACUGCAAGGCUUGAGUGUGUCAGAGGGAGGUGGAAUUCCGCGUGUAGCAGUGAAAUGCGUAGAGAUGCGGAGGAACACCGAUGGCGAAGGCAGCCUCCUGGGAUAACACUGACGCUCAUGCACGAAAGCGUGGGGAGCAAACAGGAUUAGAUACCCUGGUAGUCCACGCCCUAAACGAUGUCUACUAGUUGUCGGGGAUUAAUUUCCUUGGUAACGCAGCUAACGCGUGAAGUAGACCGCCUGGGGAGUACGGUCGCAAGAUUAAA
rnacentral:rRNA from 1 species